UGAAGCCAUCUCCUGGAGUUACAUAGCAUGUUUUGUAUUAUAGUGUUAGGAUUAAGGAAGGAAGAAGGCUAAAUCUGCCUCUUGCUUCAAAAACUGGUUUCUUGACAUCAGAUUGACAUGGAUGGUUGCGGCAUGGGAUUGCAUCAGCCUAUGGGGAAGAAAAAGAAGAAAAUAGACAAUCUGCACAGAAUAUGUAAAAGGAGAACCAAAGCCCAAAGAGAAAAAUGCUGAGAAGUCGCCAGCAAAGAAAGCACAGUAAACAACAGCAGGGGCCGGGCGCAGUGGCUCACGCCUGUAAUCCCAACUACUCAGGAGGCUGAGGCGGGGGAAUCGCUUGAACCCAUUAGGCGGAGAUGGCAGUGAGCCAAGAUAGCACCACUGCACACCACCUCAUGACAGAGCUAGACCCCGUCUCAAAAAACAAAAACAAACAAACAAAAAAACAGCAGGAGGCAGAGGAGUUUUCCAUAAUCGUACACCUUCUACUGAUGUGCUCUCCAUUAGCCAGCCUUGACUUCACCAACAUCACUGCUUCUCCUCCUCAGGGCUGGGUGGAAUGGGGUUAUGGUGGAGAGCUGCAGAAAAGCUUUAGCCACCCCCAGCUGUUAGAGGGUGCAGCACAACUCGCUUUAAUUGCUCAUGUAUUCUACUGGCCCAAGCAGUCUGCAAGGCUGAGAGUGAGUUGAAGAACACUGACUAGGCAAAUGAAGACAAGAAGAAUUUGAAAUGGCGAGGCAAUUGAGGUCCUGAAGAAAUGAAGCACAUGAAGAUGGGGGAGCAGCUCAGAACAUCAGGAGGCAGUAAUGGGAUACUGGGUGCUUGGAGGGGAACGAGAGGUAGUGGCAGUGGAUUUCAUCUGAUCAGCAAUUUUAUUUGACUUAGUGUGACAAAUGGACCAAACAAAGAAACUAUUCUGUUGUUGAUGAUCCCUAUAAUCAUUCCCUAGGAAUAGUGUGAUAUAGUUUGGCUGUGUCCCCACUGAAAUCUCAUCUUGAACUGUAGCUCCCACAAUUCCCACAUGGGAGGUAAUUGAAUAAUGGGGUCAGUUUUCCCCAUACUAUUCUCUUAGUAGUAAAUACGUCUCUUGAGAUCUGAUGGUUUUAUAAGGGGAAACCCCUUUCACUUGGUUCUCAUUCUCUCUUUGCCUGCCACCAUGUAAGAUGUGCCUUUCAUCUUCCACCAUGAUUUUGAGACCUCCCCAGCCACGUGAAACUGAGUCCAUUAAACCUCUUUCCUUUAUAAAUUACCCAGUCUUGGGUAUGUCUUUAUCAGCAACAUUGAAAAUGGACUAAUACAUAGGAAAAUUGAUUUUUAAACUAAAAACUGUUCUUUCAAGACGAGAAUAUUUAUCCUAUACUUCCUGCUGUCUGUAUCUAAAGGUUUGCUUACACAUGUCAUGUUUUGCCCCAAAUGUCCUUACUUCUCUAACCCAGACCAACUUGAACUUUUUCUGUAUAUUUCCUUGUUCAACUGAGGAAACAUACCUCUUGUUGGCUUCUUUCUUACAUGAAAACUGAGCUCCAGUUUCUGACAUCUGGGUUGGCGAUACUUCCGGUUUCUCACUCAUGCACAUCUCUCUGAUCCAGUUUUCUUGGCACUUUUUCUUUCUGACUAGGAAAAAUUUCCUAAGCUGUUCUUGCAGUUACCAUGCCUUCCUAGGUGAUGUACCCUUCGUGAAUGAUUUUCUUUCUACAUGAUAGUAAGCCUUCAGUCUAGACCUGGUUGUUCUACAUUCUGAUCUAAGAUUCAAUAGAAUUCCCUUCUCUUUGUGCCCACCAUUAUCCUACACACCAGAAGAAUUGUCAAUUUCUUUUCAUUAAUACUGGCCAGUUGUGGAUUUUUUCUUUUGUCUGAUAGAGUCAUCAUUCAGAUCAUAACUGAUAUCUCACACAUUUUCUUUGAUACUUGAUAUAGAAAUAAAUUAUCAUAUACACACGCUCACAAAUGGAACCACCCUUACCUUGGGGCACAAUAUCUAUAUAAAUAAGCCACAUUAAUAAACCUCAAUCAAAAUUAUAUACAGUAUCUAUAUCAAUAAGCCAGAAACCUCAACCAAAAUUAUAAAAUUACACUUGUACUACUAGUGCUAAUGUCAUCAUUUGCCAACACAAAAAGUACUUUUGUUGCAAUUAUUUUCUUCUUUCCACCAUUCUAAGUUUGAAUACCUGGGAUUGACUAAAAUUGCAAAACUAGUUCUAUGUUUAAUGUUUUUAUUCAUGAAUAAGUGUCUUGUUUUCUAUCCUUAUUAACUUUUUUUCUUGCUAAUAAUGAAUUUA
rnacentral:lncRNA from 10 species